rnacentral:pre_miRNA from 2 species
UUGUGAUGUCAUGGUCAUUGUUGACCGUUCAUAUAACCGUUGCAAUUGGUUUGCAGCUUAUGCGGGAGUUAUAUAACGGUCAACAAAGACCUUUGACAUCAAAGA